rnacentral:rRNA from 1 species
UACAGAGGUCCCAAGCGUUGUUCGGAUUCACUGGGCGUAAAGGGUGCGUAGGCGGUCGGGUAAGUCUGGCGUGAAAUCUCCAAGCCUAACUUGGAAACUGCGUUGGAUACGAUCCGGCUCGAGGAAUGGAGGGGAGACUGGAAUACUUGGUGUAGCAGUGAAAUGCGUAGAUAUCAAGUGGAACACCAGUGGCGAAGGCGAGUCUCUGGACAUUUCCUGACGCUGAGGCACGAAAGCCAGGGAGCAAACAGG